rnacentral:rRNA from 1 species
AUUGAACGCUGGCGGCAGGCCUAACACAUGCAAGUCGAGCGGAGCGGCGGACGGGUGAGUAAUGCCUAGGAAUCUGCCUGGCAGCGGGGGAUAACGUCCGGAAACGGGCGCUAAUACCGCAUCCUAUCAGCUGCGCCUAGGUCGGAUUAGCUCGUUGGUGGGGUAAAGGCCUACCAAGGCGACUAUCCGUAACUGGGCUGAGAGGCUGACCAGUCACGCUGGAACUGAGACACGGUCCAGACUCCUACGUGAGGCAGCAGUGGGGAAUAUUGGACAAUGGGCGAAAGCCUGAUGCAGCCAUGCCGCGUGUGUGAGGAAGGUCUUCGGAUUGUAAAGCACUUUAAGUUGGGAAGCGGUACCAACAGAAUAAGCACCGGCUAACUUCGUGCCAGCAGCCGCGGUAAUAC